GAAGUGGUGGUUCAGUGGUAGAAUUCUCACCUUCCAUGUGGGAGAGCUGGGUUCGAUUCCUGGCCCGUGCA
rnacentral:tRNA from 1 species